rnacentral:lncRNA from 1 species
CUUCGCUGUACAAUCUGAAUGAACAGUCCUUUAGAAUUUUUGAGUAAUCCUUCACAAGUAAACACUGCUGGAAAUAAAGCGGGCGUGGAAAGGUGUGUGGACAUGAUUACAGUCGUUACAUUGUUCCCUGAGAUUUUUAAGCUUGCAUAUGUCAAAUUUAUGUCACACCUGUACAGUAUAAGAGGAGCAGGUGUUCUGGUAGGCUCACCAUCCAGGACAACUGAUCUCCAGCACCGACCUGUUCAUCACGAUGAAGCCGAUCCUUUCUCUGACUCUCAUCUGGGCACUCUCCAGCACAGCUGGAGCACUUGUGUGUCAAACCUGCACCGAUACACAGUGUUCAAGCCAGGGGCCUAUGACAUGCACUUCAGAGACGAUGUGUGUAACAGCUAAUAUUCAAGGUAUUAAUUUCUUUAUGUCAUCUAUCCUAAUUCAGUGAAAUAUACUGUAUGCAGUGUUGUGAGUCCAACAUUAACAAACUAACCUUUGAUUUUGUAGCCACUUCAUCUGGAGUGACAGUGACACAGAUCGUCAAGGGAUGUGCACCUUCCUCACUGUGUCCAGCCACAGGCUCUCAGACAUUUUCAGUCAACUUGGGUGCUUCAAGUGCAGUUACAUCUGCUGAGUGCUGCAACACAGAUAACUGCAACACAGCAACUUUACCUGGUAAGUAUAUGUGACUAGUGUGCUUCUGCGUUGUGUUGGUUUGAAUGAUGCUGUGACACCGGGACCUCUUUGGAGACGAUCUCCGUUUAUUCUGACAAAAUAGACAACAAGCAGAACCUCCAUGUAAAUUGUACUGUCCACUCGAGCUCCUCUCCCGCAGGAGAAUUGUACAAAAGAGCGCCCGCGACUACGCGGUAAAAUCAUUAUACAGUGAACAAACAACAUACUCAACAAAACAUACCUGACAAAAUAGACAACAAGCAGAACCUCCAUGUAAAUCGUACUGUCCACUCGAGCUCCUAUACAAAUAAAAUGCAGAUAAAGAUAUCGACAAACCCGCAAGUUAGUUUG